rnacentral:rRNA from 1 species
GGGGGGGGGGGGGGGGGGGGGGGGGGGGGGGGGGGGGGGGGGGGGGGGGCGGCGGGGGGGGGGGGGGCGGGGGGCGGAGGGGGGGGUGGCACGGGGGUGACCCGCCCGUGACUUGGGGGUGGCUUCAGGAGACUGGGGCUCGUACCGGGUAGGAGCCGCGUCUGCAGGGGGGGGGUUGGCAAGUUUCGGCGGUGUGGGAUGGCCUCGCGGCUUCUCAGCUUGUUGGGGGGGUAGUGGCUUACCAAGGCUUUGACGGGUAGCCGGCCUGAGAGGGUGACCGGCCACAUUGGGACUGAGAUACUGCCCAGACUCCGACGGGAGGCAGCAGUGGGGAAUAUUGCACAAUGGGCGGAAGCCUGAUGCAGCAACGCCGCGUGCGGGAUGACGGCCUUCGGGUUGGAAACCGCUUUCGCCUGUGACGAAGCGUGAGUGACGGUAAUGGGUAAAGAAGCACCGGCUAACUACGUG